CUGUCUUCCGUCCUUUCUCUAUCCUCCUCUUUCCCCCAUCCUCUUCUUCCAUCUUAAUCUUCCCGUACCCUCCAAGUCACUUCUGUUUAUCUCGUGCUCUAUUCCUUUUCCCUUUUUUGUUGCUGAGCCCUCUUUGCCUCCCCUCUUCUCUCAGCCCAAAUUUGAGGCUCCAAAUUGGAAGGAAGGUAUUGGAAGGAAGAGAUUUGCAGCUGCUGGUCUAAAAGGGAUGCAGGCCAAAACCCAACUGCCUUGGUGUGAUGCAAAUGGCCCUUGUGACUUGGGAUAAAGUUUCCAGUGGCUGAAUCAUAUGUGGAUUCAAAUUGUGCUGUGUCCUAUUCCAAACUCUUCACUUGGACUGGAGAAAAAGAAGGUCAUCAAUUUUGAGAAAAUGGGUCGUGAUCCCCAGGGUCCUGAGAUUGGGCCCAUCAGGAUC